rnacentral:rRNA from 1 species
AACGAACGCUGGCGGCAGGCUUAACACAUGCAAGUCGAACGGGCGUAGCAAUACGUCAGUGGCAGACGGGUGAGUAACACGUGGGAACCUUCCUAGGGGUACGGAACAACUCAGGGAAACUUGAGCUAAUACCGUAUACGUCCGAGAGGAGAAAGAUUUAUCGCCCUUAGACGGGCCCGCGUCGGAUUAGGUAGUUGGUGGGGUAACGGCCUACCAAGCCGACGAUCCGUAGCUGAUCUGAGAGGAUGAUCAGCCACACUGGGACUGAGACACGGCCCAGACUCCUACGGGAGGCAGCAGUGGGGAAUCUUGGACAAUGGGCGCAAGCCUGAUCCAGCCAUGCCGCGUGAGUGAAGAAGGCUUUAGGGUUGUAAAGCUCUUUUGGCAGGGACGGUAAUGACGGUACCUGCAGAAUAAGCCCCGGCAAACUUCGUGCCAGCAGCCGCAGUAAUAC